CGGCAACAGCUCAAAUUUGAAAUCUGGCCUCUGGCCCGAGUUGUAAUUUGUAGAGGAUGUUUUGGGUACCGCCAUGGUUUAAAUUUCUUGGAACAGAAUGUCAGAGAGGGUGAGAAUCCCGUCUUGGACCUCGGUAGGACCUGUGUAAAACUCCUUCGAC
rnacentral:rRNA from 1 species